AUAAAUAUACAACUAAUUAUUAUUGUCACACUUACAUAUUCAAAAUAUGUAGUGUAGUGUAGUGUAGCAAGCUGCUUUAGAUUGCCUCAAACACGUUAUUGGGCUUGGAAUACCCCCUUGUUCUCUUAUCCAAUUCAAUUCAGUGUAAUUAUCCGAUUCCACACUCUUGCAUUUUGCACCUCUCGUGGGUCGUGGCCUUUAUUAUAGGCAAAACCACGAAAGACGAUGGUGACUUAUUGUUGUCUUUUGCAAAGCCAUAUCGCAUAAUGCCUUGUUUGUUUUGUGUUGAUUGUGUUUUUUCCUGCUCACGGUUUGUUGCUUGCCUUGUAUCCAUGCUUAUUACUAUUUUGGUUCUACUUAUGAAGUAGCGCCUGAUUUGGUUCUGAAUGUGUAAAAUAUAUUUUGAUAUAUUCGGUUAUGUUUAAGUAGAAUUAAUUUUCUUUUUGAAGAAUUUAUUCUAAGUUUGUAGUUAUGAAUUCUAAAUGUGAUUUUUAAUUUGUUGUUUAAUUUACUUUUUCGUAAU
rnacentral:lncRNA from 1 species